rnacentral:rRNA from 1 species
UGAGUAACCUGCCCUGGACUUUGGGAUAACCCUCGGAAACGGGGGCUAAUACCGGAUAUGACAUGCUCUCGCAUGGGGGUGUGUGGAAAGUUUUUUCGGUCUGGGAUGGGCUCGCGGCCUAUCAGCUUGUUGGUGGGGUGAUGGCCUACCAAGGCGACGACGGGUAGCCGGCCUGAGAGGGUGACCGGCCACACUGGGACUGAGACACGGCCCAGACUCCGUACGGGAGGCA